rnacentral:rRNA from 1 species
UCGUAACAAGGUUUCCGUAGGUGAACCUGCGGAAGGAUCAUUACCUAGAGUUUGUAGACUUCGGUCUGCUACCUCUUACCCAUGUCUUUUGAGUACCUUCGUUUCCUCGGCGGGUCCGCCCGCCGAUUGGACAACAUUCAAACCCUUUGCAGUUGCAAUCAGCGUCUGAAAAACCAUAAUAGUUACAACUUUCAACAACGGAUCUCUUGGUUCUGGCAUCGAUGAAGAACGCAGCGAAAUGCGAUAAGUAGUGUGAAUUGCAGAAUUCAGUGAAUCAUCGAAUCUUUGAACGCACAUUGCGCCCCUUGGUAUUCCAUGGGGCAUGCCUGUUCGAGCGUCAUUUGUACCUUCAAGCUCUGCUUGGUGUUGGGUGUUUGUCUCGCCUCUGCGUGUAGACUCGCCUUAAAACAAUUGGCAGCCGGCGUAUUGAUUUCGGAGCGCAGUACAUCUCGCGCUUUGCACUCAUAACGACGACGUCCAAAAGUACAUUUUUACACUCUUGACCUCGGAUCAGGUAGGGAUACCCGCUGAACUUAAGCAUAUC